GUAGGUGAACUGCGGAAGGUCAUUGUCGAGACCAUUAAAUGUCCUAGCGAGGACCGCAAGUCGUGUGAUGGAUCGGCGAAGCAAGGUAUGGGACGCCUUGCAUCGCCUUUGACGCGUGGGCGCUUUGCUUCCAAAGUUUGCCAGUGCGGCCUUCGGGCAAGACAAUAAUAAUGGGCGCAGCUGUUGUGCCAAGGGAAGAGGAGACUGUCACCUCACGGCGUGCCUCCUUUGUGCAUUCAUGAGGUUUGGCGAGGCGGGACGUUGUGUCCCUUGACUGUACGACUCUCGGCAACGGAUAUCUUGGCUCUCGCAUCGAUGAAGAACGCAGCGAAAUGCGAUAAGUGUUGCGAAUUGCAGAAUCCCGUGAACCAUCCAUUUUUUGAAUGCAAGUGGCGCCCGAGGAUGCUAGCCGAGGGCACACCUGCAUGGGCGUGAUGCGUUGCCUCGCUCCUUGCACGGGAUCCUUUCGUCGCGGGCAAAUGGCUUACGUGAACGUGCUUGGAAGCGAUAAAUGGCCCCCCACACGGUGGUCGCGUGGCGGGUUUCAAGACCGAGGAGAUUGUGGGAUGCUGAAGCGACAGGAGGUGGAACGUCUUCCGUUGGUUGCAGGACAACUGUAGCUUCGUGCGUUGCGACUUCUGGCUCUCCUCCUAAACCAUGCUCCAAACGAAUGCUUGUGGUCGUCACCCCAUGUCGGU
rnacentral:rRNA from 1 species